GACGAACGCUGGCGGCGUGCUUAACACAUGCAAGUCGAACGGAAAGGCCCUGCUUUUGUGGGGUGCUCGAGUGGCGAACGGGUGAGUAACACGUGAGUAACCUGCCCUUGACUUUGGGAUAACUUCAGGAAACUGGGGCUAAUACCGGAUAGGAGCUCCUGCUGCAUGGUGGGGGUUGGAAAGUUUCGGCGGUUGGGGAUGGACUCGCGGCCUAUCAGCUUGUUGGUGGGGUAGUGGCUUACCAAGGCUUUGACGGGUAGCCGGCCUGAGAGGGUGACCGGCCACAUUGGAACUGAGAUACGGCCCAGACUCCUACGGGAGGCAGCAGUGGGGAAUAUUGCACAAUGGGCGGAAGCCUGAUGCAGCAACGCCGCGUGCGGGAUGACGGCCUUCGGGUUGUAAACCGCUUUCGCCUGUGACGAAGCGUGAGUGACGGUAAUGGGUAAAGAAGCACCGGCUAACUACGUG
rnacentral:rRNA from 1 species